ACAUUCGAGGGCCAUCUGGCUGCAACAUCUGUCACCCCAUUGAUCACCCCAUUGAUCUGGCUGGCUAGGCGGGUGUCCCCUUCCUCCUUCACAGCUCCAUAUGCUUCCCUCCCAAAGCUGCAUGCUCAUUUGAACAGGACAACCUCCCCCAAUAGCAGAGGACUGUUCUGCGGUCAAGAGAUUUGAGUAGCUGUACGCCCCUGCUGGAACCUCCAGACAAGCUCUCGAGGUCCGUUUGGAAGAAAAUUUAGGGUAGUCAGGCUUCUAAGACUCCACGAAUGCGUGCUAAGUCCUUUCAGUUGUGUCUGACUCUUUGC
ensembl:misc_RNA 7SK 7SK RNA